rnacentral:rRNA from 1 species
AGCAGCCUCCGUAAUUCCAGCUCCAAUAGCGUAUAUUAAAGUUGUUGCAGUUAAAAAGCUCGUAGUUGAAUUUCGGGGUCAGUAGAUUGGUCGUGCCACUGGUACGUACUGGUCUUACUGGCUCCUCCUUCCUGAUGAACCGUAAUGCCAUUAAUUUGGUGUUGCGGGGAGACUGGACUGUUACUUUGAAAAAAUUAGAGUGUUUAAAGCAGGCUAACGCUUGAAUACAUUAGCAUGGAAUAAUGAAAUAGGACGUUCGAUCUUAUUUUGUUGGUUUCUAGGAUUGACGUAAUGAUUAAUAGGGAUAGUUGGGGGCAUUAGUAUUCAAUUGUCAGAGGUGAAAUUCUUGGAUUUAU